rnacentral:rRNA from 1 species
UUAAGCGACUAAGCGUACACGGUGGAUGCCCUGGCAGUCAGAGGCGAUGAAGGACGUGCUAAUCUGCGAUAAGCGUCGGUAAGGUGAUAUGAACCGUUAUAACCGGCGAUUUCCGAAUGGGGAAACCCAGUGUGUUUCGACACACUAUCAUUAACUGAAUCCAUAGGUUAAUGAGGCGAACCGGGGGAACUGAAACAUCUAAGUACCCCGAGGAAAAGAAAUCAACCGAGAUUCCCCCAGUAGCGGCGAGCGAACGGGGAGCAGCCCAGAGCCUGAAUCAGUGUGUGUGUUAGUGGAAGCGUCUGGAAAGGCGCGCGAUACAGGGUGACAGCCCCGUACACAAAAAUGCACAUACUGUGAGCUCGAUGAGUAGGGCGGGACACGUGGUAUCCUGUCUGAAUAUGGGGGGACCAUCCUCCAAGGCUAAAUACUCCUGACUGACCGAUAGUGAACCAGUACCGUGAGGGAAAGGCGAAAAGAACCCCGGCGAGGGGAGUGAAAAAGAACCUGAAACCGUGUACGUACAAGCAGUGGGAGCACGCUUAGGCGUGUGACUGCGUACCUUUUGUAUAAUGGGUCAGCGACUUAUAUUCUGUAGCAAGGUUAACCGAAUAGGGGAGCCGAAGGGAAACCGAGUCUUAACUGGGCGUUAAGUUGCAGGGUAUAGACCCGAAACCCGGUGAUCUAGCCAUGGGCAGGUUGAAGGUUGGGUAACACUAACUGGAGGACCGAACCGACUAAUGUUGAAAAAUUAGCGGAUGACUUGUGGCUGGGGGUGAAAGGCCAAUCAAACCGGGAGAUAGCUGGUUCUCCCCGAAAGCUAUUUAGGUAGCGCCUCGUGAAUUCAUCUCCGGGGGUAGAGCACUGUUUCGGCAAGGGGGUCAUCCCGACUUACCAACCCGAUGCAAACUGCGAAUACCGGAGAAUGUUAUCACGGGAGACACACGGCGGGUGCUAACGUCCGUCGUGAAGAGGGAAACAACCCAGACCGCCAGCUAAGGUCCCAAAGUCAUGGUUAAGUGGGAAACGAUGUGGGAAGGCCCAGACAGCCAGGAUGUUGGCUUAGAAGCAGCCAUCAUUUAAAGAAAGCGUAAUAGCUCACUGGUCGAGUCGGCCUGCGCGGAAGAUGUAACGGGGCUAAACCAUGCACCGAAGCUGCGGCAGCGACGCUUAUGCGUUGUUGGGUAGGGGAGCGUUCUGUAAGCCUGCGAAGGUGUGCUGUGAGGCAUGCUGGAGGUAUCAGAAGUGCGAAUGCUGACAUAAGUAACGAUAAAGCGGGUGAAAAGCCCGCUCGCCGGAAGACCAAGGGUUCCUGUCCAACGUUAAUCGGGGCAGGGUGAGUCGACCCCUAAGGCGAGGCCGAAAGGCGUAGUCGAUGGGAAACAGGUUAAUAUUCCUGUACUUGGUGUUACUGCGAAGGGGGGACGGAGAAGGCUAUGUUGGCCGGGCGACGGUUGUCCCGGUUUAAGCGUGUAGGCUGGUUUUCCAGGCAAAUCCGGAAAAUCAAGGCUGAGGCGUGAUGACGAGGCACUACGGUGCUGAAGCAACAAAUGCCCUGCUUCCAGGAAAAGCCUCUAAGCAUCAGGUAACAUCAAAUCGUACCCCAAACCGACACAGGUGGUCAGGUAGAGAAUACCAAGGCGCUUGAGAGAACUCGGGUGAAGGAACUAGGCAAAAUGGUGCCGUAACUUCGGGAGAAGGCACGCUGAUAUGUAGGUGAAGUCCCUCGCGGAUGGAGCUGAAAUCAGUCGAAGAUACCAGCUGGCUGCAACUGUUUAUUAAAAACACAGCACUGUGCAAACACGAAAGUGGACGUAUACGGUGUGACGCCUGCCCGGUGCCGGAAGGUUAAUUGAUGGGGUCAGCGCAAGCGAAGCUCUUGAUCGAAGCCCCGGUAAACGGCGGCCGUAACUAUAACGGUCCUAAGGUAGCGAAAUUCCUUGUCGGGUAAGUUCCGACCUGCACGAAUGGCGUAAUGAUGGCCAGGCUGUCUCCACCC